GUGAACGCUGGCGGUAGGCCUAACACAUGCAAGUCGAACGGCAGCACAGUAAUAGCUUGCUCUUCCGGGUGGCGAGUGGCGGACGGGUGAGGAAUACAUCGGAAUCUACUUUUUCGUGGGGGAUUACGUAGGGAAACUUACGCUAAUACCGCAUACGACCUACGGGUGAAAGCAGGGGAUCUUCGGACCUUGCGCGAUUGAAUGAGCCGAUGUCGGAUUAGCUAGUUGGCGGGGUAAAGGCCCACCAAGGCGACGAUCCGUAGCUGGUCUGAGAGGAUGAUCAGCCACCCUGGAACUGAGACACGGCCCAGACUCCUACGGGAGGAAGCAGUGGGGAAUAUUAGACAAUGGGGGAAAGCCUGAUCCAGCCAUACCGCGUGGGUGAAGAAGGCCUUCGGGUUGUAAAGCCCUUUUGUUAGGAAAGAAAAGCAGCAGGUUAAUACCCCGCUGUUCUGACGGUACCCAAAGAAUAAGCACCGGCUAACUUCGUG
rnacentral:rRNA from 1 species